rnacentral:rRNA from 1 species
GAUGAACGCUGGCGGCGUGCCUAAUACAUGCAAGUCGAGCGAAUGGAUUAAGAGCUUGCUCUUAUGAAGUUAGCGGCGGACGGGUGAGUAACACGUGGGUAACCUGCCCAUAAGACUAGGAUAACUCCGGGAAACCGGGGCUAAUACCGGAUAACAUUUUGAACCGCAUGGUUCGAAAUUGAACGGCGGCUUCGGCUGUCACUUAUGGAUGGACACGCGUCGCAUUAGCUAGUUGGGGAGGUAACGGCUCACCAAGGCAACGAUGCGUAGCCGACCUGAGAGGGUGAUCGGCCACACUGGGACUGAGACACGGCCCAGACGCCUACGGGAGGCAGCAGUAGGGAAUCUUCCGCAAUGGACGAAAGUCUGACGGAGCAACGCCGCGUGAGUGAUGAAGGCUUUCGGGUCGUAAAACUCUGUUGUUAGGGAAGAACAAGUGCUAGUUGAAUAAGCUGGCACCUUGACGGUACCUAACCAGAAAGCCACGGCUAACUACGUGCCAGCCGCCGCAGUAA